rnacentral:rRNA from 1 species
UACGUAGGGGGCUAGCGUUGUCCGGAAUCAUUGGGCGUAAAGAGCGUGUAGGCGGCCCGGUAAGUCCGCUGUGAAAGUCGGGGGCUCAACCCUCGAAUGCCGGUGGAUACUGUCGGGCUAGAGUGCGGAAGAGGCGAGUGGAAUUCCUGGUGUAGCAGUGAAAUGCGUAGAGACUCGGGAGGAACAUCAGUUGCGAAGGCGGCUCUCUGGACCAGCACUGACACUGAGGCACGAAAGCGUGGGGAGCAAACAGG